rnacentral:rRNA from 1 species
UACAGAGGGUGCAAGCGUUGUUCGGAAUUAUUGGGCGUAAAGCGCGUGUAGGCGGCUUUGCAAGUCGGGUGUGAAAGCCCUCAGCUCAACUGAGGAAGUGCGCCCGAAACUGCAGAGCUUGAGUGCCGGAGAGGGUGGCGGAAUUCCCCAAGUAGAGGUGAAAUUCGUAGAUAUCAAGUGGAACACCGGUGGCGAAGGCGGCCUUCUGGACAGUGACUGACGCUGAGACGCGAAAGCGUGGGGAGCAAACAGG